rnacentral:tRNA from 1 species
CAGGGAGACAACACAAUGAUUUUGAUGCCUGAGUGCUUUUAUUCUCAGGCCGAAAUCCUGUCACCUUAGGUCGAUCGGUACCUCAGCAUUAAGAGCAGUGAUUGAUGAUCAAUCAUCAAGAGACUGAAGGAGAUGUUCAGUUCCUAAACUUUGUCUAGGUCACACCCCAAAAGGGAUGAGACUCCUGGGCCAUUAGCUCAGGUGGCCAGAGCGCACCCCUGAUAAGGGUGAGGUCCCUGGUUCAAGUCCAGGAUGGCCCAUUCGGUGUUGGGGGUUUAGCUCAGUUGGUAGAGCGCCUGCUUUGCAAGCAGGAUGUCAGGAGUUCGAGUCUCCUAACCUCCACUGACCGAACUUGAUUCCCAUCUCCAAUUUUUUGGAGUUGAGCUCGAUUGGAGUGUGAUUUAGAUGUGUCCGCUGGAUGACCCCAGCUUCCUGUCAUUCCAAGUUUUAGGUUAAAGCCUUGAAUUUGGUUGAUAAGAUGCUGGGCUCGGAUCAAAUGAUCAAGCAAUUGAUGAUUUGAUUUGAAGUUCUAGCAGAACCUUGACAACUGCAUAGGUGAGUCUGGAAAAAACAAAGCAUCUUACAGAUGCAUUGUUUUGAAUCUGAUCUUCUGAAAAGGAGAUUGGAUCUAGAACAAUGAAAAUUCUUUUGAGCAAGAGCCGAGACUCUUGAGCGUUCUUUGAUUGGUGUCGAGCCAAUCAGAGUUUGAUCUUGUUUUUAGCAAUAAAAACUUGAGAAUCUGCUUUCAACGGCGGUAAGCGUUCAGGAGGUUAAUU